GCCGAGCUAGCUCAGCUGGUAGAGCAACUCAUUCGUAAUGAGUAGGUCGUCGGUUCGAAUCCGAUGCUCGGCUCCA
rnacentral:tRNA from 1 species